AUGCAGGAUUUCUACAGUGCAGCUUGUGUGGUGCUGUGUUGUCGUUCCCCCUGCAAACAGUAACUUGUUUCCUCGCUAUCCCUGGCUGUCAACAUCAAUUGACUGCCAGGGACGUAAGGUCUCAAACAC
ensembl:snoRNA SNORA63 Small nucleolar RNA SNORA63